rnacentral:rRNA from 1 species
UACGUAGGGGGCAAGCGUUGUCCGGAAUCAUUGGGCGUAAAGCGCGUGUAGGCGGCCCAGUAAGUCCGCUCUGAAAGCCCGGGGCUUAACCCCGGGAGGCGGGUGGAUACUGCUGGGCUCGAGUCCGGAAGAGGCGAGUGGAAUUCCUGGUGUAGCGGUGAAAUGCGCAGAUAUCAGGAAGAACACCCGUGGCGAAGGCGGCUCUCUGGGACGGUACUGACGCUGAGACGCGAAAGCGUGGGGAGCGAACAGG